GUUUGAUCCUGGCUCAGGAUGAACGCUAGCGGCAGGCUUAACACAUGCAAGUCGAACGGUAACAUUUCUUGCUUGCAAGAAGAUGACGAGUGGCGCACGGGUGCGUAACGCGUAUACAACCUGCCUUGAACAAAGGGAUAGCCCAUGGAAACGUGGAUUAAUACCUUAUAAUAUAUGACUGUGGCAUCACAGACAUAUCAAAGAUUUAUCGGUUCAAGAGGGGUAUGCGUGACAUUAGAUAGUUGGUGAGGUAACGGCUCACCAAGUCAGCGAUGUCUAGGGGUUCUGAGAGGAUGAUCCCCCACACUGGUACUGAGACACGGACCAGACUCCUACGGGAGGCAGCAGUGAGGAAUAUUGGUCAAUGGACGAAAGUCUGAACCAGCCAUGCCGCGUGCAGGAUGACGGCCCUAUGGGUUGUAAACUGCUUUUAUAUAGGAAGAAACCCCUCUACGUGUAGAGGGCUGACGGUACUAUACGAAUAAGGACCGGCUAACUCCGUGCCAGCAGCCGCGGUAAUACGGAGGGUCCAAGCGUUAUCCGGAUUCAUUGGGUUUAAAGGGUUCGUAGGCGGAUAGAUAAGUCAGUGGUGAAAUCCCGAAGCUCAACUUCGGAACUGCCAUUGAAACUGUUUAUCUUGAAUUUAGUUGAAGUGGGCGGAAUAUGACAUGUAGCGGUGAAAUGCAUAGAUAUGUCAUGGAACACCAAUUGCGAAGGCAGCUCACUAAGCUAAUAUUGACGCUGAUGAACGAAAGCAUGGGUAGCGAACAGGAUUAGAUACCCUGGUAGUCCAUGCCGUAAACGAUGAU
rnacentral:rRNA from 1 species